AACGAACGCUGGCGGCAUGCCUAACACAUGCAAGUCGAACGAGACCUUCGGGUCUUUUGGCGCACGGGUGCGUAACGCGUGGGAACCUGCCCUUAGGUUCGGAAUACCUCCCCGAAAGGGGUGCUAAUACCGGAUAAUGUCUUCGGACCAAAGAUUUAUCGCCUUUGGAUGGGCCCGCGUUAGAUUCGCUAGUUGGUAGGGUAAAAGCCUACCAAGGCGACGAUCCAUAGCUGGUCUGAGAGGAUGAUCAGCCACACUGGGACUGAGACACGGCCCAGACUCCUACGGGAGGGAGCAGUGGGGAAUAGUGGACAAUGGGCGAAAGCCUGAUCCAGCAAUGCCGCGUGAGUGAUGAAGGCCUUAGGGUUGUAAAGCUCUUUUACCCGGGAUGAUAAUGACAGUACCGGGAGAAUAAGCUCCGGCUAACUCCGUG
rnacentral:rRNA from 1 species